UUCUUUUUAGUCAAGUUAGGAUACUUUGUAUAUGUCAUUCCAUGUUCACUAUCGAUCUUUAUAGAAAAAGACAAACAAUGUCUUCGUUUUUAUUGACCUCGUUUUUCUGAUACGGUUCUUGAUUUCUUGCUUCUUCUUAGUCCAUUUGACCUAAGUUUUAGCUUUAUAUAUAUAUAUAUAUAUAUAUAUGUAUUAAUAGUUUUUGGUACAUGUGAUGUAUAAUAGUUUGCGUAAUCAAUUUGAACCCUAAGAAAAAGGAGAAACAUACAUCGCACGAAUUUUAUUCCAUGACGCAAAGCAAACGAACGGAGGAGGUCUUUCACCUUUACACUCGACAUCCUUACGACAGUGACUCUCUCUUUAUACCACCAACCCUCUCUCUUUUAUUUUUGCAUCAUCAAACCCAAAACUACAUUAUAUACUAUUUUUGUUAAUUUUUUUAUUUUUGAGUCCAGUUGCUUUAAUUUUAUGUACUUCUAUCACUUAUACCGAGUUUAUUUGUAGAGAAAUAUAUAAACUAUUUCAAGCUUUAUAUGUGUUUAUUUAU
rnacentral:lncRNA from 1 species